UACGUAGGGAGCAAGCGUUGUCCGGAAUCAUUGGACGUAAAGCGCGCGUAGGUGGCUUCGUAAGUCCGUUGUGAAAGUCAAAGGCUCAACCUUUGAAAGCCGAUGGAUACUGUGAAGCUAGAGUACGGAAGAGGCGAGUGGAAUUCCUGGUGUAGCGGUGGAAUGCGCAGAUAUCAGGAAGAACACCCGUGGCGAAGGCGGCUCUCUGGGACGGUACUGACGCUGAGACGCGAAAGUGUGGGGAGCGAACAGG
rnacentral:rRNA from 1 species